rnacentral:rRNA from 1 species
CCUACGGGAGGCAGCAGUGGGGGAUAUUGGACAAUGGGGGGAACCCUGAUCCAGCGACGCCGCGUGAGUGAAGAAGUAUUUCGGUAUGUAAAGCUCUGUCAGCAGGGAAGAAAGAAAUGACGGUACCUGACCAAGAAGCCCCGGCUAACUACGUGCCAGCAGCCGCGGGAAUACGUAGGGGGCAAGCGUUAUCCGGAAUUACUGGGUGUAAAGGGAGCGUAGACGGUUAAGUAAGUCUGGAGUGAAAGGCCGGGGCCCAACCCCGGGACUGCUCUGGAAACUAUUCAACUUGAGUGCAGGAGAGGUAAGCGGAAUUCCUAGUGUAGCGGUGAAAUGCGUAGAUAUUAGGAGGAACACCAGUGGCGAAGGCGGCUUACUGGACUGUAACUGACGUUGAGGCUCGAAAGCGUGGGGAGCAAACAGGAUUAGAUACCCGAGUAGUC